rnacentral:lncRNA from 1 species
CGGGUUCACGCCAUUCCCCUGCCUCAGCCUCCCGAGUAGCUGGGAUCACAGGCGCCCACCUUGUCUGGCUCUUGAAUCCAUUCCUAACUUGACUUUUUUCCACGUCUACGUCCGCAUCCACGUCCUCUCACAUUGCUAAUCUCCCUUUCCAUAAGAGCUGUUGACAACAGAUUGGCCUUUUUCUUAAGCCUUCAAUUUACUUUCCUUUUUCUUUCCUGAGUUCUGCUCUUGCGGCCAGCCGGUGGGGCCGGACAACGGCACGGGCCCCGCCCCCGUGCACUGCCGCCUGUCUCUCCUGUUUUUUUCUGAUUUCCUUUUUACUUUCUUCUUUCCCUUCUCACACUUACUGUUACUUUCUCCUUUCCUUUUCCUUUGCUCUUCUCCUGGCGCCAAGUCCCUGGCCCCUUCUUUUUCCAGAUAGAGCCGGGCUGGGGAGAGGAACUUAAUGGUGGGCGUGCUUAGCUGCCGCGCUUGUGGCUUUUGCUCUUUCCCGUUUUGUUCCUUGGUCACAGUUAACAUACACCGUGGUGGCCACUUUUAUGGACUGGGUGGUAUUCAUGCCUGCAGCUUCCACUUGAUGUCACCCUGGGCUUGCCCUACGAAUGAAGUAUUCCCCAUAGGCUGAUGUUCAGCAGCCUCACAGUUAAAUGGGGUACAAAGCCGGAAUGCUUCACAGAGUCUCUUAUAAAACUGACUUAGGCUCUCAUCAGCUCCUUGAAGCACUUCUGAAAUCUUCUUUAUAUUCAUUGCUUUCCUUCUACCAACUCGUAGCCCCUGCAGAAGUGCCUCUUGGUACCUCUGCAAACGCUGAAGCUGAGUUUCAUCCUCUGGGUCCUAGUUGGGAUCCUGGUCAUCAUAAUAGAUAGGUCCUCGUGUCCCCCUGAGAGGCAUUUGCAUAGCUCCAGCACGGCCAGAUCUGAGAUGGCCCACUUGACUAUCUUGACCUCCUUCCUGGCCUCUCAAGGCUCUGAUCCUCCCCUUCGAGGUGAGACCUGGGGCAUGUUAGCUCCUGAAUCUGGUUCCUGGGGGGGCUGUCGGCCUCGGUAAAGCGGGGGUAGGCUGGGAUAUAUGGAGGAAGAAUUUCUGUUACCUUUGGUGGCUCCUGUAAAACUGGCUUCUCUUGCUGUCUCUGGGAUUCCCUUUUAACUCUGUGUCUGCCGGCAAAGCUGCUCUUAUUUUCACUUUUGGUUUUUUUUGCAAUAAGCUGUUAAACAGGCCUGGAUCAAUGCUGGGUUUGGCUAUAUUAUAUUUAACUAUGAGUCAAUAUAAAGAAAUUGAUCCAGGUACACUGGCUGUUCUCCAACCCUUGUCACCACCUUAAAUACAUGGCCAAUUGUUCCCUGUCUGUAGUUCCUUCGGUCAGCCAUCCAACACCAGAAGAGGGCAAUUCUAAUUCACCCAGAGUUCUCAACCUCUGAGGGGGUUAACUCUAUAAUCCCCUGCAAAACCUUUCUUAAGGUUCCGUAACAUGCACUCCCACAGAGUAAGUUUUGAUGUUUUGAUGACUUUCCUCCCAUUCCUCCCUUUACAACGCAGCACAUUCACUCUUGCCUACUCACUCUUCCUCUCGUUUCGACCAACCACACUGUCUCCUAUUAUGGGGGUUUUCAGAUGCUGCUUGGCUUUGGAGAGGUCCUUAUUCCUGCUGCAACUCUGAGCUGUAGGGCAGCUCCUAUUAGCCAUAUGCAGAUCACCACUAGUCUUAGUCGGCCCCACCCUUUCUCGGAGCACACAGUCUACACUAAGGGAUCUGUGACUCUUCACUUCGCAGCUGAUGCGCCUAAUGAGGCCUUUUCAUUCACACACUUCCACACACCUUCAGUUCCCAUGUUUGUAACUGGGGUGGCAAGCCACUCUCGCCCCCUCUAGUUCCCAGUUGGGGUGGCGAGCCACUCUUGCCACCUCCAGCUCCCUUCUGUCCAAGGGACGGGUCCUGCCUUGAGCCCCCAAAACCUUACUGUGGUUCCUGAAGCGCGUUGUUUCUGAAAUCAUCCUGUAGUCCCUCUUUAGGUUCCGUUUCGCUGCUGGGUAGGGGUGCCAGGUCACAGGAGAGCUGAUCUCCC